rnacentral:rRNA from 1 species
AUUGAACGCUGGCGGCAGGCCUAACACAUGCAAGUCGAGCGAGCGGCGGACGGGUGAGUAAUGGCUGGGAAACUGCCUGAUGGAGGGGGAUAACUACUGGAAACGGUAGCUAAUACAGCAUACCAUCAGAUGUGCCCAGAUGGGAUUAGCUAGUGGGGGGGGAAACGGCUCACCUAGGCUACGAUCCCUAGCUGGUCUGAGAGGAUGACCCGCAACACGGGAAAUGAGACACGGUCCAGACUCCGCCGGGAGGCAGCAGUGGGGAUGAUUGCACAAUGGGCGCAAUCCUGAUGCAGCCAUGCCGCGUGUGUGAAGAAGGCCUUCGGGUUGUAAAGCACUUUCAGCGGGGAGGCGUUACCCGCAGAAGAAGCACCGGCUAACUCCGUGCCAGCAGCCGCGGUAAUUC